rnacentral:rRNA from 1 species
UACGGAGGGUGCGAGCGUUGUCCGGAAUCAUUGGGCGUAAAGGGCGCGUAGGUGGCGCGGCAAGCGUGCGGUGAAAGCUCGGGGCUCAACCCCGAGUCGGCCGUGCGAACUGCCGCGCUCGAGCACUGUAGAGGCAGGCGGAAUUCCGGGUGUAGCGGUGGAAUGCGUAGAGAUCCGGAAGAACACCGGUGGCGAAGGCGGCCUGCUGGGCAGUGGCUGACACUGAGGCGCGACAGCGUGGGGAGCAAACAGG